rnacentral:rRNA from 1 species
GACGAACGCUGGCGGCGUGCUUAACACAUGCAAGUCGAGCGAUGAAGCACCUUCGGGUGUGGAUUAGCGGCGAACCGGUGAGGAACACGUGAGGAAUCUGCCUUUCACUUCGGGAUAACUCCGGGAAACCGGGGCUAAUACCGGAUAUCUUCAACUGGCGGCAUCGCCGGUUGAAGAAAGUUUUUCGGUGAAAGAUGACCUCGCGGCCUAUCAGCUUGUUGGUGAGGUAAUGGCUCACCAAGGCGACGACGGGUAGCCGGCCUGAGAGGGCGACCGGCCCAACUGGGACUGAGACACGGCCCAGACUCCUACGGGAGGCAGCAGUGGGGAAUAUUGGGCAAUGGAGGAAACUCUGACCCAGCGACGCCGCGUGAGGGAUGAAGGCCUUCGGGUUGUAAAGCUCUUUUACCCGGGAUGAUAAUGACAGUACCGGGAGAAUAAGCUCCGGCUAACUCCGUGCCAGCAGCCGCCGUAA